rnacentral:rRNA from 1 species
GAUCCUGGCUCAGGAUGAACGCUAGCGACAGGCUUAACACAUGCAAGUCGAGGGGCAGCACGGUGUAGCGAUACACUGGUGGCGACCGGCGCACGGGUGAGUAACACGUGUGCAACCAACCCCGUACCGGGAGAUAACCCGCGGAAACGUGGACUAACAUCCCAUGAGACUCUAGAGCCGCAUGGCUCUAGAUUUAAAAUUCCGGUGGUACGGGACGGGCACGCGCGACAUUAGGGUAGUUGGCCGGGGGUAAGGG